rnacentral:rRNA from 1 species
AACGAACGCUGGCGGCAGGCUUAACACAUGCAAGUCGAGCGCCCCGCAAGGGGAGCGGCAGACGGGUGAGUAACGCGUGGGAAGCUACCCAUCUCUACGGAAUAACGCAUGGAAACGUGUGCUAAUACCGUAUACGUCCUUCGGGAGAAAGAUUUAUCGGAGAUGGAUGAGCCCGCGUUGGAUUAGCAAGUUGGGGGGGUAAAGGCCUACCAAGGCGACGAUCAAUAGCUGGUCUGUGAGGAUGAUCAGCCACACUGGGACUGAGACACGGCCCAGACUCCUACGGGAGGCAGCAGUGGGGAAUAUUGGACAAUGGGCGCAAGCCUGAUCCAGCCAUGCCGCGUGAGUGAUGAAGGCCCUAGGGUUGUAAAGCUCUUUCACCGGUGAAGAUAAUGACGGUAACCGGAGAAGAAGCCCCGGCUAACUUCGUGCCAGCAGCCGCCGUAAAAC